rnacentral:tRNA from 1 species
AGGCCUGUAGUUCAGAGGAUAGAAUGCUCGGCUUCGGACCGAGUGGUCGGCGGUUCGAAUCCGUCCAGGCCUGCCA